rnacentral:miRNA from 1 species
UAGCCCAGGGCCUGGAGUGGGGCAAGGUGGUUGGUGAUACGGCUUUCUCUCCCUGCCUGCCCUGGCCAG